CCUCGGGCAGCAUCAGUUGCAUCAGCUACAUCAAUUUCAAUGUCUGCCUUCUUUAAAGCUGGUGCAUCAUUCACGCCAUCACCAAUCAUCCCGCAUAUGUGCUUCCUUUCUUACAGCCUAUUCACAAUGCUCUAAUCCUGACCUGAGGCCAUCGACCGCCAGAAUGUUCAACGAAUUUAGCUCGUGGAAGUGCUUUGGCAAUCCGAUGCCCCUUUACCCUCCACUCCUUGCACCAACCACUGGACCAAAGCACUCGCAUCGGCAUAGAGAUCAACCUUUCUGAACUACCCCAUUCUGCAA